AGUUGCAUGCAAAGUCCAGUAUAUUUUUUUCUCUUGUUUUGUUUUUAAACAGCUGGACUCUAAAACAGAAGCAUAAAUGCUGUUAUACUGUGCAUUCAGCAUAGACAAACAAGACAAAGUGGCAUUAUGAAUAUAUGUACAUUUUUUUUAUACAUGCCCCUAAUUCUAAAAGAUUGUUUUCUCCAACCAAAUAUUUAAAGAUGCAGAAAGGACCAAUGAACACUUUCAGAAACACCUUGGCAUUUGACUCCUCCAAAAACCAGCCAGAUAUUUACACUUAUUUAAAUGCCUUUAACAUAUUAUUCUGAGUUCAGUUUUUAAAGCUGAGUAGGGAAAAUUGAACCAGGGUUUUCAGGAAGAGUUAAUCUCCAGAUCAUUGAAAUUCAGGUUUUCUGAAAGUUAUCUAAAACUGGAUUCUCAAGACCAACAAUGCCCAAAAUUGCUUUCAAAAGUUGCCUUUGAAAACUCUUGAUCUUUAAACAUACUCUGAAGGAUAUUAAACACUAAAUUGAAAGCUGGAACUAAAAUUUCUGAUGAUAUUUCCACACUAACAAAACCUUUUCUGGCUUCAAUUUAUCUUUGUAGCUUUGCCAUGCUGUUCUGUUGUACCAGAGACAUAGUUAGAAACAAUUAUAUAGUAGUGAUAUCUAUUGCCCCGUAGUUCUGUCAUGAAAGAAAUAGUUCAUUAAUAUCACAGUGUAUAUCUUUUACUAUGCAUAGCUGAACUACCUUGUCGAUUUCAACCAUUCUUAAAGCUACAGGCUCCCAGUAACAAUACCUGCAAUGUAAGAUUUAAUUGACAAGGGGAAAAAAAAAAUCAGGCUGUUUUCUAUUCAUGUUCUUUUUUCCUCCAUAUAAUAGAUGCAUUGAAUCAGCUGCACUCUCAGACUGUCCUUGCUGAUCAUCUUGUGUUUUACAGCAUCAAAUCAGCAGUAGCCAAAGUGUUUCUAAAACUCAUGUGGAAAAAGGUCUUUUCCUACCAGUGUCAACAGCUUUAUCAACUACAGUAAAUGGAUUUCUCUGUUAGGACUUCCUGGUUUUCCUGAGUCUGCUUGAGACUAAAUUCUCAACCCAUUAAAUAGAGAAUAUUAGAACUCUCAAAGAGGAAUGCUGCUGAGAAAACGAGAGAUGUGAAAAUCUUGUUUUUUACAGUGAAGAUAAAUUGUUUUCCAAAUGUGAGGCUGUGAAUUCACUAAAAGAAAAAAUACACUGCUCUUUGUUCCCGGCUUUGGUUGAGUUUCUUGUAAAUCUGAACUGCAAAGAGAAUCAUGUUAUUCUUCAUAUGCCUUUCAGUGAACAACUUUUAAAUGUUUAAAGAUUAAGAGCACUUGUCUCUUGCACGAAGUCAAACUAAAAUUGAACUAUCAACUAGUUCAAAGCAAAAUGUCUUAAAAAUUUAUCUUGAGUUAAACUUCAACUAGUAUUCUGAGUUCUGAUUCCCUAAUACACAAGCAAAAUAGUAUUAGUCUUUUGAAUAAAAAAAUAAUCUAAACUAUUUAUUUUUAAGUUUUAGCAGAUUUUAAAAUAUACUACUUGGUUUGUAUUCUUUGUUUUCAGGUAAUUUUAGCAACAGCAUCUUAAUGGAAUCAUCUUGACAGUAUUAUUGAGACAAUACACUCAUUGAUAAUGUUUCAAUUCUAUAAGGUGCUGAACAUCUUAUGUAUGCCCUAGAAGGAUUAGGGCCAAAUCCAACAAAACAUCUAUCCUAUCAUUCUAAUUGAAAUAGAAGCCUGUUAUCUGAACUAAUAGACAUUUUAUUUGUAUAAGUUAUAUAGUUUUUAUUCUGUGCAUAAUGCAUAAAUAUGAUACUUUGACAUGCCUUGAUAAUAGAUGAAGUGCAAUGAGCAUUGUGGCCCAAAGUCAGCUUACAUCUUGAAAGUGUUUUCUAGUAUUGGAACAGACAUUCCAGAUGUUUAGAGAGCUAUUAAUACAUAUAUAGAAAAGUUUAUUAACAAUAAAUAAUGUUUUAAAUUAGUUUUUAAGUAAUUAAUACACUAUUUCUAGAUCUUGUUGCUUUUUAAGCAGAGUAUGCAGGACUGCAAGUGGCAGAAAGGUCAAUGUAAGUGGUCUUGUGCCUUUUUAAUGCUCAAGUCAGUAAUGUACUAGAUUAAAAAAAAAAUGAGAGUUACUAUGCAGAACAAUGUCAUAUAUGUGUGAUGUGAUUCUUUCUUCAGGUCUCAGCAUUAAUCUGUGCUCAAGAAUGUAAACAACACUGCCUUAAGAAAUAUUUGCUGAAAAAGGUUAUAGACUUUUUCAUUAUCUAAUGAUAGUAUUAAUGUACCUAUAAGACAGGAAGGAAUUGCUGAUGUCUUAAAGGUAAGCUUAAAACAUUUAAUUUGUGUAGAAAAUGAGUAAUCUGACUUCAGAUGUAAAAGAAAAAAUGGUCUAAAAGUUAAUUCUCUCACCUGUUACAGGUGAUCAUAGAAUCAUAGUAUCAUAGAAAGUCCUGAGUGGGAAAGGACCCACAAGGAUCAUCGAGUCCAACUCCUGUCCCUGCAUAUGCCAACCCCACAGUUCACACCGUGUGUCUGAGGGUGUUGUCAAGUCUCUUCUUGAACACUGCCAGGCUUGGGGCUGUGAUUGUCUCCCUGGGAAGCUUGAUCCAGUGCUCCACCAGUGCUUCUUUAUGAUCAACCUAAACCCUCCCAGCACAACUUCCUGCCAGAGAGAAGAGUUCAGUGCCUGCCACUCCUCCUCCCCUUGUGAGGAUACUGUAGACUUCCAUGAAGUCUCACCUCAGUCUCCUCCAGGCUGAACAAACCAAGUGACUUUAGCCACUCCUCAUAUGGUUUCCUCUCCAAACCCUUCACCAACUUCAUAGCCCUCUUCUGGACACUCUCUAGUAGUUUAAUCUUUUUUAUACUGUGGCACCCAGAACUGCACACAGUGCUCCAGGUGAGGCCCACACCAGUGCAGAGUAGAGAGGGACAAUCAUCUCCGUCACCCAGCUGGCAAUGCUGUACUUGAUGCACCCCAGGACAUGGUUGUUCCUCUAGGUUGCCAGGGCACACUAUUGGCUCAUGUUCAACUUGCCAUUGACCAGAACUCCCAGAGGCCUCUCUGCAGAGCUGCUUUCCAGCAUCUUGUGGUGGCUGGGUUUGGUCUUUCAGUCUCCUAUUGAAUUUUCUCUGUACACAUACUGUAUUGGGUCUGGCUGGGAUCAAACUAUGAAGUUAACUUUCUUUGUAGCAGCCUCUAUGGUGCCAUGCUUUACAUUUGUGGCUGAAGCAAUACCUAUAACACACCAGAGGUUUGGCUACUGCUAAACAGUGCUUGCACAGCAUCAAGAUUCCGUCUGUGUCUCUCCCCACUCCCCCCCGAAGUGAGUAGGCUGGGGGGUUAUCAAGAGGCUGGAGGGGACACAGCCAGAACAGUUGAUGACCUGAUCAAAAGGAUAUUCUAUACCAUAUGACAUGGUGUGUAUCAGUAAACGCCAGGAGAAAGAAGGAAGAAGCAGGGAAGGGACACUCAGGGUUAUGGCACUUUUUUUCCCAAGUAAUCAUUACAUGUGCUGGUGCCCUGUUUUCCUUGAAAUGGCCAAGCAUCUGCCUGCUGAUGGGAAGACAUAAAUGCAUUCCUUAUUUUGCUUGUGCAUAUAGCUUUUGUUUUUUCUUAUUAAACUGGCCUUCUCUUGAUGCAUGAGUCUGCUCAACUUCUUGCCGUUUUUCUCCCCGUUCCUGGCAUGAGGUGAGUGAGUGAGUGAGCGAGCGAGCGAGCGAGCGAAAGGCAGGUUGGGUGCUUGGCUUAUGACAAGGGUCAAUUCAUCACUCAUAUCUAAGUUAUGUGGGCCAUGAGGUUCAUUCAGUAUCUUGUUUAUUUGUUUCUUGCUAUUUUAUGUGAUGUGUGUUCCUCGUCUCAACAAUUUAUUCAGGAAAAUCAAUGAUUAAGAAAUAAUUUUGAUUAACCAGGAAUUAAAUACUGUAGAUAUAAUCAAAGCAUUAUUGUUUAA